rnacentral:rRNA from 1 species
CCUACGGGGGGCAGCAGUGAGGAAUAUUGGUCAAUGGACGAGAGUCUGAACCAGCCAAGUAGCGUGAAGGAUGACUGCCCUAUGGGUUGUAAACUUCUUUUAUAUGGGAAUAAAACGUUCCACGUGUGGGAUUUUGUCUGUACCAUAUGAAUAAGGAUCGGCUAACUCCGUGCCAGCAGCCGCGGUAAUACGGAGGAUCCGAGCGUUAUCCGGAUUUAUUGGGUUUAAAGGGAGCGUAGGUGGAUUGUUAAGUCAGUUGUGAAAGUUUGCGGCUCAACCGUAAAAUUGCAGUUGAAACUGGCAGUCUUGAGUACAGUAGAGGUGGGCGGAAUUCGUGGUGUAGCGGUGAAAUGCUUAGAUAUCACGAAGAACUCCGAUUGCGAAGGCAGUUCACUGGACUGCAACUGACACUGAGGCUCGAAAGUGUGGGUAUCAAACAGGAUUAGAUACCCCAGUAGUC